UAGGGAAUCUUCCACAAUGGACGCAAGUCUGAUGGAGCAACGCCGCGUGAGUGAAGAAGGUUUUCGGACCGUAAAGCUCUGUUGUUGGUGAAGAAGGAUAGAGGUAGUAACUGGCCUUUAUUUGACGGUAAUCAACCAGAAAGUCACGGCUAACUACGUGCCAGCAGCCGCGGUAAUACGUAGGUGGCAAGCGUUGUCCGGAUUUAUUGGGCGUAAAGCGAGCGCAGGCGGAAGAAUAAGUCUGAUGAUGAAAGCCCUCGGCUUAACCGAGGAAUUGCAUCGGAAACUGUUUUCUUGAGUGCAGAAGAGGAGAGUAGAACUCCAUGUGUAGUGGUGGAAUGCGUAGAUAUAUGGAAGAAUACCAGUGGCGAAGGCGGCUCUCUGGUCUGCAACUGACGCUGAGGCUCGAAAGCAUGGGUAGCGAACAGGAUUAGAUACCCUGGUAGUCCAUGCCGUAAACGAUGAGUGCUAAGUGUUGGGAGGCUUCCGCCUCUCAGUGCUGCAGCUAACGCAUUAAGCACUCCGCCUGGGGAGUACGACCGCAAGGUUGAAAC
rnacentral:rRNA from 1 species